GUACGGCCUGGCCAGGUCAGUGGCAUCGCGUCGCUCGCGAUGGCGGCACGGUCGAAAGUCAUCGCGCGUUCGAGGAACUCGCGCUGCACG
rnacentral:tRNA from 1 species